GUGCCAGCCGCCGCGGUAAUACGGAGGGUGCAAGCGUUAUCCGGAUUCACUGGGUUUAAAGGGUGCGUAGGAGGGUAGGUAAGUCAGUGGUGAAAUCCCCGAGCUUAACUUGGGAACUGCCGUUGAUACUAUCUAUCUUGAAUAUCGUGGAGGUGAGCGGAAUAUGUCAUGUAGCGGUGAAAUGCUUAGAUAUGACAUAGAACACCAAUUGCGAAGGCAGCUUGCUACACGAAUAUUGACUCUGAGGCACGAAAGCGUGGGGAUCAAACAGGAUUAGAUACCCGCGUAGUCC
rnacentral:rRNA from 1 species